GAAACGCGAAAGGUAAUGCGAAUUGCAGAAUCAGUGAGUCAUCGAAUCUUUGAACGCACAUUGCGCCUCUCGGUAUUCCGGGAGGCACGCCUGUUCGAGCGCCAUUACAAACUCCAAGCGUGGCUUGAUGUUGGGCGAUGUCUUUUUGCGAGAGCGGAGACACGCCUGGAACGCGUUGGCGCCGCCGCCGGACCACGAGCGUAGCAAGACGAGAGUCAAUCGCAUCGAUUUGGAUUCCGACGGAGGUCCGCCAUGGGACUACACUUUCGAGUGUAAGUUCACAACUUCUCUCAAGUUUGGCCUCGGAUCAGGCGGGGAUACCCGCUGAACUUAAGC
rnacentral:misc_RNA from 1 species